UGACACCGAAGCGCUCUCGACCCCUGACCUCUAACCUCCGCCGGGCUCUUUUUGCUUCGUCCGUCGCCCCCUCCCCGCCAAGCUGGUCGCACUGUUGCGGUUUCACUGCGGCUGACGGAAGGCCAAGGAAGAAAGAGGGUAGAGACGCUGUGGCGAGGAUCAGGCUGCCCUCUCCCUUCCCAGGCACCGUGUUGGGGCCUCCUGAGCACCCCGCCCCGCAUCCUGCGCCUCGGAGGCCCAACGGAGCCCAAGACACCCAUGGUCUUGAUGCUCUCCGCCUCUGUCCCAGCCACCAAAGCCCCCGCGAUGGAAUGGGGGACGGGGUGGCCUUGGGCAGAGAAGCGCUUCUUGUGCCAGAUGGAAGGAAACCGUAGCUCUGGCUGUGUUCAUCGCGAAACGUGUUAUGGAUGUGGGCUUCAGGCAGCCACCAUGCCUGUCUGGAUGGUGUAAGGAGAUCUUGAGGCAGAAAUGAAAGAGUUUAGCUGGCUUUGAGUUUGCUGCAGUGAAAAGAAAUAUCCCAAGUGUGACUGGGAAGAGAAGACCCGGGACAGGCCAGAAGCUGGAGUGAGGAAGAAAGAACCACAGAAUAUUAAUGUAAUGAGUAACUUUCAAGUCCUAUCUGGUCCGUGUCCUGGCAAAGUCCCUUGGGGUCUCUCCCCUGCUUUCUGUUCAUCAGGAUGACUGAGCUCAGUAAUUGUAAGAAAGGGAGUGUAGUGGGCAAGGGGACAAAACCCAUAGUAUCCCACCCCUGACUGACUUAUUAAUUCAAUGAAUACUUAUUGAAUACCUACGAUAUGCCAGAAGCGGUUCCGGGCACUGGAAAUACAUCAGUGAAUAAAACAGCCACUUGUCCU